UCAUGUAACUUGCCCAUAUGAACUUGUCUUCUGGCCCUCCGCUGGCACACGGGCCCCCAGGUGCUGAAGGCUGAACAACUGUAGUCACGUGGGGAGUGGGGAGGGGCAGUAAGAUCGGAGAAAGAACGAAAACCCAAGAAACAGAAGAUGGGGUCUCUGGAAAAUAACCGUCAAGGCAAACCAAAGAGACACAUUGGGUUGGAGGCAUACAAGUCAGAGGUGGUGACCGAGAGUGAUUCUCGAGCUUUAUUGUUCUGAAGAAAACCUGUGACAGAAACUGCUCUUCUCUACUUGACCUCAGAGAAGAUGAGCGAGUAGCUUUGGUUCCGGUCUUCCUCGAACGCUGCCAAGAACUGCCGGUGAGGCCUUCCGUAAACGCGCAAAGCUAAAAAUGUGCUCAGGAAAGCACAACGGCUAUUUUGCCAGAACAAACAGUGGCUGCGGAAUUCAAACACGAAGAAUUAGGGAGCUGUCGCCCUUUUUCCUCCGGCAGGAUCUGUCUGGGGCUUUCCAAGAAGGGGAGUCUCUCUCCCUCCGAGUAGGAGCAACAGCAGAUGCAUGGCUUAAUACAUGGCGGUAAAUCAGUAAAACGAUUUGCACAACCAUUUUCUUAGGAUGAAGUCUACUGGAAUCAUGAGGUGUGUAUACAAUAACAUAUUGAGUAAA